rnacentral:rRNA from 1 species
UGGGGGGGGUGCUAUACUGCAGUCGAACGCUUUUUCUUUCACCGGAGCUUGCUCCACCGAAAGAAAAGGAGUGGCGAACGGGUGAGUAACACGUGGGUAACCUGCCCAUCAGAAGGGGAUAACACUUGGAAACAGGUGCUAAUACCGUAUAACAAUCGAAACCGCAUGGUUUCGGUUUGAAAGGCGCUUUUGCGUCACUGAUGGAUGGACCCGCGGUGCAUUAGCUAGUUGGUGAGGUAACGGCUCACCAAGGCAACGAUGCAUAGCCGACCUGAGAGGGUGAUCGGCCACAUUGGGACUGAGACACGGCCCAAACUCCUACGGGAGGCAGCAGUAGGGAAUCUUCGGCAAUGGACGCAAGUCUGACCGAGCAACGCCGCGUGAGUGAAGAAGGUUUUCGGAUCGUAAAACUCUGUUGUUAGAGAAGAACAAGGAUGAGAGUAAAAUGUUCAUCCCUUGACGGUAUCUAACCAGAAAGCCACGGCUAACUACGUGCCAGCAGCCGCGGUAAUACGUAGGUGGCAAGCGUUGUCCGGAUUUAUUGGGCGUAAAGCGAGCGCAGGCGGUUUCUUAAGUCUGAUGUGAAAGCCCCCGGCUCAA